rnacentral:rRNA from 1 species
UACGAAGGGGGCUAGCGUUGUUCGGAAUUACUGGGCGUAAAGGGCGCGUAGGCGGCCUUCUAAGUCAGACGUGAAAUCCCUCGGCUCAACCGAGGAACUGCGUCUGAUACUGGAAGGCUUGAAUCCGGGAGAGGGAUGUGGAAUUCCAGGUGUAGCGGUGAAAUGCGUAGAUAUCUGGAGGAACACCGGUGGCGAAGGCGGCAUCCUGGACCGGUAUUGACGCUGAGGCGCGAAAGCUAGGGGAGCAAACGGG